GGUUCAUUCAUCUCGCACGACGGAGAUGAUACGAGUAGAUGACACCGAAAAAACAGGUCCACAUACAGGUAGAGAGAUUUUGCAACAGAAGAAACACGCGGAGACCGACACAACCCAGCCAGGCACGACGACGCCAGAAUCACGCCCCCUGCAUCAUCAUGCGCGAGAAGUCGUGGAAGCAGACGAAGCCGUCGCCAUCGCCGUCGACGCGGCCGAUCAUGCGGCGGCAGUCCUCGACGGAGCAGGCGGCGUCGCCGAGCGCGGCGAGCACGGCGCGGAGCUCCUCCGCGGAGAUCCUGCCGUCGCCGUCCGCGUCGAACACCGCGAACGCGUCGCGGAGCUCGGCCUCGUCCUCCGCCUCCGCGGACGCGGCCUGCUCGGGCGCGAGCCCGGCGGCCUCCGCCUCGGCCAGCACCGCGGCCAGCUCGUCCUCGCUGCGGACCACCCGGCGCAGCGCCACCUCCAGGUCCUCCCGCGUCACGGCGGCGGCUACUACCGCCGGAGGCUUCGGGUUGGGGGCGGACGGCUGGGAUUGGAGGACGGUGCGUGGCGUCGUCGUGACGGCUGACGGCGAUGCGCACUCGUCGGACGAGGACGACGACGCGGUGGAGACGAAGGAAGAGGAGCCGCCGGUCUUUGACCCCUUCCUCUUCUUGCCGGAGGAGGAGGAAGACGAGCCGAAGAAAGGCAUGCUCAGCUUCAUGGCGUAUGUACCUUGCAGUGCAGUGCAGGCGAGCGAUUCGAGGAUCGAUGGACUGGUGACCGAGGUUGGGAGGGAAGGAG
rnacentral:misc_RNA from 1 species